UUUUAAUUUCAUCUUUAUAUGAUGAACAGAAUUACAAAUGUGUCCUCUGAGAAAAUGUUUUUGUUUAAUGUCUGAUAACUUAAGACUUGUAUACGUAUACAUCUGUCAACAUCGUCUUCACAACAUACUUAAUUACAUGAUGAUCCAUUAUUUUUAUACGACUAGUUUAGUGCAAUAUACUGAUUUGCCUUCUUUCUUUUUAAUAUAAUAUUAUAAAGAAAUGCUUUUUAU
rnacentral:lncRNA from 1 species